UUUUUUUUUUUUUUUUUUUUUUUUGGUCUUUUUAGGACCACACCUGCAGCAUAUGGCAGUUCCCAGGGAGGGGUCAAAUCAGAGCUGUACUGCGGCCUACACCACAGUCACAGCAAUGCGGGAUCCUUAACCCACUGAGCAAGGCCAGGGAUCAAACCUGUGUCCUCAUGGAUACUGGUCGGGAUCGUUAAUGGCUGAGCCAUGACGGGAACUCCUUUUUUCUUUUUUUCCAGUUGAAAAAGAGACCAGGGAGAUAGAUGGCCCCAUGUCAUACACAAAAGCUUCCUUGGCCCUUUAACUUCCCAGCGGCUGCAUGGGGCUCCUUGGUAUGGCUGCACCAUCGUGUACUGGCUUCCUAGACAUGGACACUGGGUGGCUUCCCCACCUCUGCUGUUAAAUACACUCAGCUGCCUCUUCCCACGGGCGCUCCUGAACCUUCCCGGCAGGCAGAGGCACCCAACUCCCUCUGACCUUGUCAACCACAGUGUGUCAUCAAACUUUGGGAUUGACUGAUUGAUUGAUUGAUUGUCUUUCUGCCUUUUGUAGGGCCGUUCCUGCGGCAUAUGGAGCCCUAAAAAGGAAAAAAAAAAAACAGGCUCUGCUGCCAUCCUGCUCUUUACCGAUUCUGCCCUCAAACCUGCUCCCUGGCACCUCCUGGCUCCCUUUCUCCCCCAGGGGCUGUUCUUCCACCCCUCAGACCUCGGCACCUGCUGGCUCUCCUCAGCCCCUCAGGCUCUCCUCUCGUGAGGGCCCACUCCUCAGGGCAUCUCUCCCUUGCCCACAUGCCUUGCUGGGGCCUCCUAAACCAGGGCUGGCUGUCACCAGCUCCCCUCUGAGCCCAGUCACAUAGGCAACGCCCCCACAGCUCCUGAGUACCUUCCAGGAACACAAAGUGAAACCCGGACUUCCGCCCACAAACCGGUUCCUCUCUCAGCUGCCCCCAGUUGGUCAAUAAGAGCAUCAGCCAGCCUGUUGUUCAAACAGACUGGACGUCACCCUGGCUCUUCCCUCUACCUUACUCCCCAGUCCCACAACACCUUCCGUCCUUCUGCCGCCUGUCUGCAAAAUAGACCUUGAAUCUCUCCACCUCCACUGCCCACACCCCAGGCCCAGCACAAACAUCCGCCACACAAUGACCCCGGUGGCUUAGAGCCCCCACUAGUUCCUUCCUCCCAGAUAACCCAGCCCCUGCCCUCCCUCUGACCUCACUUCCCGCACCGCCCGAGCCUUUCCUCCCUAAGGCCUGGCAUCACGGCCCAGGCCCGGGUACCCAGCGUGCUGGGUGCUUUCCUGCCCCGCCAGGUCUUUCCGGCGGGAGGACUGUCCUCGCGACUGAUCACGGGGCAGCCUGAGCGGGGGCCGGCCCGGCAGCUGGAGUCCAAGGUCCCCGCUGCUUCUCGCCCCCCCAGG
rnacentral:lncRNA from 1 species